CCGGUCGGCGCGAGCCCCUCUCGGCUGCCGCCAUCUUGGUGCCUUCACCGGCCGCCGCCUCCAUCCGCCGCCAUCCGCCUCCAUCCGCCGCCCCCCGCCCGCCGGGACUGAGCGGGGCUCCGCCGAACCGCCAUGAGGGCCAAGUGGCGCAAGAAGCGAAUGCGCAGGCUGAAGCGCAAGAGGAGGAAGAUGAGGCAGAGGUCCAAGUAACCGCCCCCAGCGGGGACACGGCCCGGUGACGUCCCGGGGCUGUCCCGGUGUCCCGGGGCUGUCCCGGUGCUGUCCCGGGGCUGUCCCGGGACGGUCCCGGUGCCGCGGGGCGGUCCCGCCGUGCCGGUUCUUUGCUUUGUGGCGGCCGCCGUGCCGUGAAUAAACGUUGGUUGUUGCUUACA